rnacentral:rRNA from 1 species
CUUCCCUACGGGACGCAGCAGUGGGGAAUAUUGGACAAUGGGGGGAACCCUGAUCCAGCGACGCCGCGUGAGUGAAGAAGUAUUUCGGUAUGUAAAGCUCUAUCAGCAGGGAAGAAAGAAAUGACGGUACCUGACUAAGAAGCCCCGGCUAACUACGUGCCGGCAGCCGCGGUAAUACGUAGGGGGCAAGCGUUAUCCGGAUUUACUGGGUGUAAAGGGAGCGUAGACGGCGAUGCAAGUCUGAAGUGAAAGGCGGGGGCCCACCCUCCGGACUGCUUUGGA